CAGAGCUCUGAAACCGUUCCACUGUUGCCGGGUGUAUCUGGUAAAUAAUUACAAAUAAUUACACAAAUCCUUGGUACAAUUGAUUCUUGUCAAAAGCUAAAGAUUAUUUUGGUGUUUGGCACCAGGCUACAUAGCUGCUGUUGGCAGAAGUGAUGUUCAGAUAAGUUGUUUGUAUGUCAUCAGAGAACAAUGAGGCUCAUGGAGAUGAGGAGAUGACAAAUAAUGGUAUGUAAGACAACAAAGGAACCUGAAUAUUUACAGAUGGUGAUCCAUAGCACAUUCAUAUUAUUAUCAUUCCACAUAGCAGCACAGUCCAAAAUAUACAUAUCAUAUACAUGUCGUAUCCAAAUUCUACUGAACUGAUAUUGUGAUCAUGUUUUUGCAGGAGGCGUAAAGCCCCCUGAAGUUAAGACAGAUUCAUCACGUGAAGGGAACCCAACAGCAAAUGGCCCGGGGUCCACAGCUGAAGGAGAGAACAAUGAGGCUCAUGGAGGGAAGGAAAGUCCAGAAAAGACAAAUACUGGUAUGUAAGACAACAAAGGAAACUGAAUAUUUACAUACAAAUAAUAAAGCAAAUCCAUGGUACAAGUUAUUUAAUCCUGAUCGUUUAAGGAUGUGGCUAACAGAUCUGAUGAUUUUAGUGAAAUGCUGUCAUUUCUUAAUCAAUUUCCUUUGACAACAGUAUAAUGUGCAGGCUAACCAGAUGCCUAUGAAAUACAGUUUGGAAUGAAUAACACAGAUGAGUUAAAAGUGGAAUUGUAUCUCUCAGGGAGGCGUCUGUGUAAUCAUUUUCCACAUUUCUCUAUCUAGGGAGAAGCAUAAAUGUAGCUCUAUUCCACUCCCACCCUAAGAGGAACUAUAUUUUGAUAUUGCCAUACAGCUCAAUUCAAUUCAUUUGUUCAUGUAUUGUGAACUUUCAAUAACAGCCAAGUCUCCAACAAUCAGCAGCUUUAUACAUCCACUGGGUCAAAUGUUCUAAUCAGUCAAAUAAACGCCAGUCUGAGCAUGGUGGCA
rnacentral:lncRNA from 1 species